rnacentral:rRNA from 1 species
AGAUUGAACGCUGGCGGCAUGCCUUACACAUGCAAGUCGAACGGCAGCACGGGAGCAAUCCUGGUGGCGAGUGGCGAACGGGUGAGUAAUAUAUCGGAACGUGCCCAGUCGUGGGGGAUACCGCAGCGAAAGCUGUGCUAAUACCGCAUACGAUCUAUGGAUGAAAGCGGGGGAUCGCAAGACCUCGCGCGAUUGGAGCGGCCGAUAUCAGAUUAGCUAGGUUGGUGGGGUAAAAGCCUACCGAAGGCGACGAUCUGUAGCUGGACCUGAGACGACGACCAGCCACACUGGAACUGAGACACGGUCCAGACUCCUACGGGAGCAGCAGUGGGGUAAUUUUGGACAAUGGGCGCGAACGCCUAGACUACGAGACGAAU